rnacentral:rRNA from 1 species
GACGAACGCUGGCGGCGUGCCUAAUACAUGCAAGUAGAACGCUGAAGCGAGGAGCUUGCUCUUCUUGGAUGAGUUGCGAACGGGUGAGUAACGCGUAGGUAACCUGCCUUGUAGCGGGGGAUAACUAUUGGAAACGAUAGCUAAUACCGCAUAACAAUGGAUGACCCAUGUCAUUUAUUUGAAAGGGGCAAAUGCUCCACUACAAGAUGGACCUGCGUUGUAUUAGCUAGUAGGUGAGGUAACGGCUCACCUAGGCGACGAUACAUAGCCGACCUGAGAGGGUGAUCGGCCACACUGGGACUGAGACACGGCCCAGACUCCUACGGGAGGCAGCAGUAGGGAAUCUUCGGCAAUGGGGGCAACCCUGACCGAGCAACGCCGCGGGAGUGAAGAAGGUUUUCGGAUCGUAAAGCUCUGUUGUAAGGCAAGAACGAGUGUGAGAGUGGAAAGUUCACACUGUGACGGUAGCUUACCAGAAAGGGACGGCUAACUACGUG